rnacentral:rRNA from 1 species
AUUGAACGCUGGCGGCAUGCCUUACACAUGCAAGUCGAACGGCAGCACGGGAGCAAUCCUGGUGGCGAGUGGCGAACGGGUGAGUAAUAUAUCGGAACGUGCCCAGUCGUGGGGAUAACGUAGCGAAAGCUACGCUAAUACCGCAUACGAUCUACGGAUGAAAGCGGGGGAUCGCAAGACCUCGCGCGAUUGGAGCGGCCGAUAUCAGAUUAGGUAGUUGGUGAGGUAAAGGCUCACCAAGCCGACGAUCUGUAGCUGGUCUGAGAGGACGACCAGCCACACUGGGACUGAGACACGGCCCAGACUCCUACGGGAGGCAGCAGUGGGGAAUUUUGGGACAAUGGGCGCAAGCCUGAUCCAGCAAUGCCGCGUGCAGGAUGAAGGCCU